UUAAAUGUCAUCAGACCUAGAAGAGAUGGGAGCACUUGGGUUCUGACUUUUACAAUGCCAAUGCCAAACCCACGCUUCUACUUUGGAGUCACUGUCUGUUGCCAUGACCUUCACACUCCAGCCUCAAAACAUUCUGAUGACUCACUCAGCUGAACACACCAUGAGCUAAGAAAAGUAAUGAAAGAUAUUUUUGCUGCAUUUUUUUCUGAUCCAUUGGAACAAUAGACGUCAUUUCCUCCCCAUGAAGAACCAAGUUCCUGCUGAGAUUUCUAAUGUGAGUUAUGUGAGUUCAGGUCUCUCCUCUUGAAAGCUCAUGCUCCUCACUGCUAACAUGGGUAUUGUCUACCCCAUAAGACCACCAAGAAGACUGAAUAUGGUACCAGACAACACUAAGACACUGUGAAUAAUGACCAGUGCUCAAGAAGGGGUAUAUAACCUGGAUAACCCACCAGUUUGACCAACAGAUAUCAAUGACAAGAGAACUUAUCAGGAUGGGGUUCUGGAAGUAUAAAGGGAGGUGACUUUCCUCUAGCUGACAACACUCCAAAGAGGGGAGCCGUAGUUAUGGCAACAGUGAGACCCUUCAAGUACUCUGAGAUGGACAAAGCAGUGAAGAAAAGAAAUUGUGGGUAGACACAUGUGGACUACUCCUUCGUGAUGACACUAUGGUGGGGGAUACCUCACAAGUGGUGAGCUGAGGCUGGGCGUCAGACUCAUGCCAUUAUUCUUUAUGAUUUGAACACUGAAAGUUAAAAAUGCAGUCAUUUGGAUCCUGGAACCCUUGAUGCUAGCAGCAUAUUGAUUAGAGAAAUUUUGUAAGUUUUGAAAUAAACUUUUACU